AAAGUUGGCAUACAUAAUAUACUCUUCAAAAAAAGUAGGGGAUAUUGAAAUGCAAAUACCUAUGCAGGUUGUGAUAUGAUAAAUAGUCAUGGACACUUGACAUGCUUUGAGAGUAUGUUCACAGAUGAAGAACUUAUCGCCCCAACAGAACCACUGAGCUGCAUGUGCGACACGCAAUAGCACCAUACACGUGGUUUAAUCUAUCCAUGUUUGCUUUCCUAUCGGUUCUUGCAUAAGGAGAACAUGUGGUUCUUUCCUAUCGGUUCUUGCAUAAGGAGAACAUGUGGUUAAGAGGAGAGAGAGAGAGAGAAAUGGGGUUUAACGUCCACUCGACACAAACUAGGUCAUUUCGGGACUAACAUAUGGUUUAGUUUUAUUUCAAUAAUUCGCUUGCGUGUAGGGGUCUUUCACAGUGGGAGGAACCUGGAGGACCCGGAGAAAACCCACGAGGUUUGACAGGCGACCCUACUCCUUCUCGCGUACUACCGGGGAAUCGAAAACAUGCCAGUUGACUCAAUGACAGACUUUAUGAUACAUCGCCCACAUGCUAACCAUUCAGCGAUCCAACCCCCCUGUGGUUAAGAGGAUAGUCCUGUAACAUUUCUAUGUUAUAAGAAGAGGAAGGGGCUUACUUAAUUGACAACAGUGUGUAAAAUAUCUACCAUCAGUAAUUACUUUAUCUAUGUCACAGCAUUUGUAAAUGUCAAUUCACCUUAAACAGGACACUUUAUAGGGUAAACAGGUAAUUUAAGAUACUGUAAAUGUACAUUAAGCUGUGUUGACUGAUGUGGGGAUAAAAAAGAAAUUAAAUUUAUUUAUGUCAUUCAUGUUAAAAUUCACUGUUUUAAUGAGAUUGAAGUGCAUACAUGCAGACAGGAGAGUUUCAAAAAUAUUAAAUUGUGUGAAGCCUGUUCAGCAACAGGGAUUGACACAUGAAAGUGAUACCGGUUGUGAAAUUGGUACAGAUACAGGUGAAUCAGAUUCGGAAGUGGAGCCAGUAGCCAGAAGGAAGAGGAAAGUUCCUUUAACUGAACCUGAAUCUGAGCCAGUAAGCAAAAGGAAAAAGAUUGUUUCUGCUCUUAGUGAUCCUGAAUCUGACGACGUUUGAUUGCCGUUUUUCUUAUGUACAUUGCACUUUUAAGGUUUGAAUAGUGAUGUCAAGCUAAAAAUCAAGAGAAAGAGAUGGUCCACCAAGGAAGUGGUUUUAUUUAGGAAACAUUUUCAUAACUACAACAUCAAAGAAAAGCGCAUGGCCCCAGGAGUAAUUAUUGAGAAAAAUCUACCCUUUUUCCGAAACAGGACUGUAGCAAUGCUGAGAACAAGAAUGCAUAAUAUAUUGAGUGGAAAGCUUCAAUUAUUUUAAGCUCAUUUAAACAAGCAUUAUGUAAGACAUUUGUUAACAUGAUAAGACCAUAAUCAGGUCUUGAUGCCAUCAGAUGGGUCAGAUUUUAGCUAGAUUAGAAUGGUUCGGCCAUUUAAUGAUUUAAUUUAAAAAUGGUCAAAUAACCAUUACGUUGGUUACUAUCAGGGCACAUAUCUUUUCAAACCUUCAAGGGCUAAUAUUUUCGUCAGAUUAAGGAAAUUUGAAUGAAAUGUUCAAUAUAUUCAUUUUGCAUUAUCUGUUUUUAUACCCCACAUUUUCAUUUGGACGUAUGUCGUCGCCCCUGUCCAUCCGUCUGUCCAUCCACAAUUGUUUGUGGACACUUUAAUGUUCACAAUUCUUAUCCAAUUUUGACAAAACUUGAAAUAUAGGUUUAUCUCCAAAAGAUCUCGGCUGCUUACGAUAUUGACAUGUAUCGGAUCGAAACUUCAUAGAUUAUGGCCCCUGAUUGUAUGAAAAAACACAUUUUUAACUUGUGGACACUCUAGAUGUCACAAUUAUUAUCCGAUUUAAAAAAACGUUCAAAUAUAUCACCGUUGCACAGUAACGAAGGUUGUGUUCAAAUUUCGUGAAAAAAAACCCGGACCAAAGCUGCCGGACAAAAUGUCCGCCUCUUGGGUACGCUAAUAGUGUAAAAAUAUGGUAUAUCAAGGUUGGUGGGUUCGAAUUUCGUGAAAAUCGGGCCAGAACUGCCGGACAAAAUGGACGCCCCUCAUACGCAAGUAUAUACAACUGGCGGUAGUUUUUACUUUGAUGUCCAUAGCAGUUAUAUCUCAUAACAACCUGUCAUGACAUCAUCAUAGGUUGAUAUAUUCGUUCAUAUCAACCGCUGAUGACGUCAUGACAGGUUGAUAUUUCAUAUCAACCACUAAUGACGUCAUCUCAGGUCAAUAUAUUCGGCUCAUAUCAACCGCUGAUGACGUAGAUGAUCAAAAUAAUACAAAAAAACACAGAAAUAAAUUUUUAUUCUUUUGACAAUUAAAAUUUGUUAUGGUACAGUUUCUAACAUUCAGGACCGAAAUAGACGACGUACUUAUCGACAUACAUGUAUUUAGAUCGGUUAUCCAUGUCUAAGACAUCUUUCAGAAUUUUCUUUUCGUCCAGAUUGCGAUUAUUUCUCCACACACUACACGACUUGAUAGUAUUUAUCGCCCAAGAGUUCCUUUGUAAAGUAUUUUUGGGUACAGUCCACUUAAAACAGUCGGUCAAAUCCUUCUCGGAACAUACCGAAAACCUUCAAUCAUGGUUCACUGUCAGAAUUCUUGGAAAAGAAUGCCUUUUGGUCCAAAUUUUCUGCAGGCUUUGGAUAGAUUUUCGUCGAUAUUUGCAUUCACAUCUAUUCCAUCGUCAAUAUGUUGGCUAAAAAGGAUUAAUUAUUCGUCUGACUUCGUAUUAAUAUCCAUUUUGUUUUUAAUUCAAUAGUCCAAAAUGGCGAUGUAUAAACAAACACAUGCAUGUGAUUACUUCGGUAAUUUUCGCUAUUUGGCGAAAACUAUCGAGCAAUUAUCCAAUCGUUGUUGCCUUUUAAUAGAAGAGCCCAUUAAAUUUAAGGGUGAAAUGGCGUUGUAUAUGUCGGAUAUAAACCUACUCUCCCUCGGAUUGAUAUGGUAGAGAACGCUUGGGCUUCGCCUGCGCGUUCUCUACCAUAUCAACCUUGGGUAGGUUAAUAUCCUAUACUUACACAUCUGGUAUAUUAAGGUUGUGGACCCUCUAUAGGUCACAACUUUGAUGCGAUUUUGAUUAAACUUGAAAUGUAUGUUUAUAACCCAAAGAUCUUGGUUCCUUUUAAUAAUUGCGUAUAUCCAAAGGUAACUUCCUGGAUUAUGUCCCCUGAUUGUUCGAAAAAUCGCAUUUUUAGCUGGAUUCUCUAGAGAUCACAAUUUUUUUUCGGAUUAUAAAAACUGUUUAAAUAUAUCACCAUUCCACCAUAAUGAAGGUUGAAUUUGAAUUUCAGGAAAAUUGUGUAAAAGUCACGAAGGUUGUGGAGCCUCUAAAGGUCACAAUUUUUAUCCAAUUUUGAUGUACUUAAAACAUAUCUUUAUAUCUCAAAGAUCUCAGUUCCUUUUGAUAUGUGCACAUUUCAGACCAUAACUUUCUGGGUUAUUGCCCCUGAUUGUACAACCAGCGGCUGCCAGGCAGGAUACGCCCACAUUUUCGAGAGAUGGAUAGAGAACAAGCUAACAAGAAAGUGAUUUUUCCUACAAUCAAGGGCGAUAAUUCAGGAAAUUACAAUUCGAUAUGCGCAAAUAUCGAAAGGAACUGAAUGAACGGCAGCCAAUUUGUCUGUCUAUUUUGGGCCGAUUUUCACGAAAUUCGAACUCAGUCGUCCUCAGUGUGUAACAGUGAUAAAUUCGAAUUCAGUUGUCCCUAGGGUGUAACAGUGAUAUAAUAAUACGUUUUUUUAAAUCGGGUAAAAAUUAUGACUUCUAUAGGGUCCACAAGCUAAAAACGUGAUUUUUCAUACAAUCAGGGGCCAUAAUUCAGAAAGUUAUGGUCCGAUAUGCACGAAUAUGAAAAGAAACCGAGAUCUUUGGGUUAUAAACUUACAUUUCAAGUUUCAACAAAAUCGGAUAAAAAUUGUGACCCCUAUAGGGUCCACAACCUUGAUAAACCAUAUUCUUACGCUAUUUGUGAACGAACGGCGGCCAUUUUGUCUGUCAAUUUUGGGCUGAUUUUCACGAAAUUUGAACUCAGUCAUUCUUAGGGUGUAACGGUGACAUAAUAGAGCGUUUUUUUAAAUCGGGUAAAAAUUAUGACUUCUAUAGGGUCCACAAGCUAAAAACGUGAUUUUUCGUACAAUCAGGGCCAUAAUUCAGGAAGUUACUGUCCGAUAUGCGCGAAUAUCGAAAGGAACUGAGAUCUUUGGGUUAUAAACUUACAUUUCAAGUUUCAACAAAAUCGGAUCAAAAUUGUGACCUCUAUAGGGUCCACAAGCUAAAAACGUGAUUUUUCGUACAAACAGGGGCCAUAAUCCAUGAAGUUUCGAUCCGAUACAUGCCAAUAUCGAAAGCAGCCAAGAUCUUUUCGGGAUACACCUAUAUUUCAAGUUUUGUCGCAAUCGGACAAGAAUUGUGACCUGUAGAGAGUCCAAAAACAAUUGUGGACGGACGUCCGGACGGACAGGGGCGACGGCAUAAUACGUCCACAUGAAAAUGUGGGCGUAUAAAAAUUCGUCAUGUGUUGUGUAUCCUUUUUAAAAACUGUAAUUUGUCAGCGACACAAACGCCUCAAUGGAUUAUGUACAUAAGCUAUAGAUAUUUUAAUUACAUCAAAAGUGUAUUAGAAAUUACUGUUGAUCUGAAAUAGUUUCUUUUUAAAAAAUUUAUAACGCGGAACUCAAUAUAAAAUAAUAAAUAACCAGAAAUAUUGAAAAUGAAGCUAUAUAGGUUUAAAACUAUGACUUUAUAAAAUAUAGUGAAUAUGUCGAAAUAGGUAACUGCAGCAAUAAAUUAUUAUUGCCUAAUUAUAUAAAUAGAUUCCUAUAAAGGUAGUGGCCUAAUUCUUUCACGCAAUUUUACAUGUGGAUGUGAAUAGAAUACAUAACAAAUAUAGUGAAAUUUACUGGAAUACAUGACAAACUAUCUCUUUAUGCAAAAACUUUGGUGUGCAUCAUUAUUUUUUUUUUAUGAGUUAUCACAUUGUUAAUGCCCCACGCCCCCUUUAUGUUUAUAAUAUUUUCUCUGAUUGUAACAGAUUUAAGUGAUUUCUCGGUAUCAUUCAAAAUAACAAGUCUUUGCUCUGCAAAAGGAGAUCAAACAGUUAUAAAUGGGAUUUAGACAAAAGGGAAACAUAUUUACGCAUAUACUUGAAGACUUUCUGUUUCAAAUCUACGUUGUAUUAUUCAUCUGUUUUAUGGGAUUUAUUUUUGGUAUAUACGGACAUAUAUUUAAUAUUCCAUAUUGUUCAUACUGUAUUAACAGGCCUUUAACAAAUAGAUCAGGCUAUAACCCUAUUUUAAACCCGUAUCCAUGAUUUGUUUUACGUCAAGUUUUUAGAUUUCAAAGCGCACACAAUUAAGCAGAAUUGGCAGUAAAAACAAAAUCACAAAUUACUACGGCUUAUUAUGAAAAUCGUUUCAAAUAAAGCGACCGAAAUAAAAAAAAGACACCAAAGUGAUUUCCAAAGGCGAUUGCAUGCUUUUAGAAUAGAACAAGCUAGGUGACACAUAUGGAGCCGUGCCUAGUCUGUGCUUUCGAUUUAUACCUGCAACGGAUGCGGGAGAGAGUUAGAUUUCUUUACGUUUGACUAAUUGUCCAAGAAGGGUCAUCUAAGCUGUUGAAAGAAGGGAACCAAACAUACCCUAUUGCGAAUAUAUCGGGAAGACGUCAUGUAAAUCGGCGAAAAGCUGUUUUGUAUGAAAAUAUGAUUACAAUGUAAUGACUGGUUCGAAAACAGAUUCGUUAAUCUGAUAACAAUGGCGAUUAGAAUAUAUCGGAUAAUCAAAUUGGGGUUGGUUAUGAUAUCGGGAAAUGACGGUACUGCGUGUGAUCAAUUUUAAGAAACGACCAUUUAUAGUUAAGUGGUACGCACGAUACUUUGUAAACAAAUUAAACCCACAAAAAAGAUCAAAUAUAUAAAUAACUGCAGUGCGACUAUGGUAUGAAUUACAAAACACGUAGUAUUCAUCAAGAAAUGAAAUACGUAUAAGAAAGGAUAUACAUACCUAUCCCAUGUAGAAAUCCAUGUAUAAAGACCUACACUUAACAAAGACCGAUCUGCGUAAAACACACGGUCGAACAAGAAAUCGCACGGUAAAUUAGAUUUAACACCUACGCGUCAGAUAAAGCCUGCUGGUCCUUGAUAAAUCACCUUUGCUGCAGUUAUAACACGUUUUCGAGAAAACUCACCAAAUAAAGAAUACACACCGUGUCAGUCGUUUUUAACCCGUUCGUUAAUUAACACACCGGUACAGAAAACGCACCGACGCCAAGAUUUUCACCCCUAGCGAUAAUUAUAUCACCUUUCAGUCAAUUUCUCACCCCUGUUACUUAACACACCGUACCUACAGAUUUUAGCCUCUUCGUAUUAGAUUUGUUGCGAUAAUUAGAAUUUCACCGAUAUUUGUACAAAUUUACUAAAAAUUGAGAAAUAUAUACCAUAAACGUACAAAUCACACUAUUACUACUUCUCAGUGUUAUGUUAAAAGAAAAUACUAAAAAAAAAUCUAAUAGAUAUUUGUUCUUUAUUUUGGCGGAGAAAAUAUAUGGCUAAUAAAUUAAAAUGAAAAUUUGACGGAAAAAAAAUGAAACCCAGAGUGAGCACUGCACACACACAUGUGUACUGAAAUAAGCUGGCCAGACUCAAUUUCCAUUUAUAUUUCCAAGAUUUUUACUAAAAUGUACUAGAUCCCUGAUCGAGUACCAUUCCAUUUUCACAGUGUAAAUUGGGUUGAAAACUUCCUACUCUAUGAAAUCAAUGAAGGAAUGGAAUUGGCUUUAAUGUCAACACAUCUAGGUCGUCAAAUUGGAACUAACAUAAUAUUGUAACCCUUCAUUUCAGUAAAUUUCUUGCUCACAGAAAUCUUUAGCAGUGCAUGGAAUUCGAGAAAACUCAUUACAUGUAAGUUAGGGUUGGCAGGUGACCCCGUCCUUUGUCAAGUCAAUUGUGUAUUAAAAUUUUAUUAUUUUAUAAAUAAUCCAUAUUACAUCUUUUAUUGUAGUACGAAUAUGGUUUGCAAAAAGACAACUACAACAAUUAGAAAACAUGAAAUGUUGAUUCUGUAUUUGAGAUUUGAAUAAUGAUUUUGACAAAGACUGUUUUGUACAAGAACAGUAGCUACAAUAAGUAUGGAGUAUCUAAAGUCAGGAGCACAAUUUCAGAUUAUGACAAAAAAAUAUUUUUAAUAUAGAAGAGUGCUGUGCAGCCCUGAUUAUCCAAAGAUUUAAUAGUCGUUUUGCGUGAUGUUACACUGGGAUUAAGGUUUUAAGUCACAUUAUAUAAAAUGUUUAGUAAAAAAACUAAAUCCAAACAUCUGACAUUCAUUUUUCACCUUGUAAAAUGAACUAAAAAAUUGAAUGAUUUGUAAGUCAUGUCAUUAAACAGGCUUAAUAUACCCACAAAAAGUCCUUUAUAGUAAAAAUUGUUCAUAUCAAGUCAAUUCAUUAUAGCUAAGUUUUUGACUACAAGAUUAAAGGUAACAACUUGAUAGAAUGCACUAUUACAUCUGGCCAAUGCUGUACUGUGUUUUUGGGUCAAAUUAUUGACAACUUUCCACAAUAUUCUAUGACAAAAAAAGCCUCAAACCGAAUAAAAAGUAACACCCAAUUGUAGCCUGCAAAAACAUGAUGUCCGUUCUAUACAUAUGAUUAAAAACAUAAUGCAAGAUUUACAUGAGGUGUUCUUAGCUUUCCGAAUGUAUGGCUAGGGAGGGUUGGGGGUACAUAAUUUUAAAUUACAUAAAUUGAUAUUAAAGUGGUGUGGGUGAGGCCUUUAUUGUUUAUUUUAGUUAUGAAGUUAAUGUCUUU